GCAGGAAUGGCGGAAUUGGCAGACGCGCACGGUUCAGGUCCGUGUGAACAUUGCGUUCAUGAGGGUUCAAGUCCCUUUUCCUGCA
rnacentral:tRNA from 1 species